CCCGCUGAACUUAAGCAUAUCAAUAAGCGGAGGAAAAGAAACCAACCGGGAUUGCCUCAGUAACUGCGAGUGAAGUGGCAAAAGCUCAAAUUUGAAAUCCGGUACCUUUUUGGUGCCUGAGUUGUAAUUUGGAGAGACAAAUUUGGUUGAUGGCGCCGGCCUAGGUUCCUUUGAACAGGACAACAUAGAGGGUGAGAAUCCCGUUCCUGGCUGGAUGACCGUCACAUUUCUAAAUUGUCUUCGACGAGUCGAGUUGUUUGGGAAUGCAGCUCAAAAUGGGUGGUAAAUGUCAUCUAAAGCUAAAUAUUGGCGAGAGACCGAUAGCGCACAAGUAGAGUGAUCGAAAGAUGAAAAGCACUUUGAAAAGAGAGUCAAAAAGUACGUGAAAUUGCUGAAAGGGAAGCGCUUGAGACCAGACUCGAGCCGUGGUGAUCAGCCGUGCUUUUGUGCGAUGUUACUUGCCACGGUUUGGGCCAGCAUCGGUUCUGGCGGUCGGAUAAAAGGUGGAGGAAUGUAGCUUCCUUCGGGGAGUGUUAAUUUAGCCUUCACCACAAUGCGGCCAGCCGGGACCGAGGACCGCGCUUUGGCUAGGAUGCUGGCGUAAUGGUCUUAAGCGACCCGUCUUGAAACACGG
rnacentral:rRNA from 1 species